GGAGUUUGGUCCGUGUCUCAGUACCAAUGUGGGGGACCUUCCUCUCAGAACCCCUACUGAUCGUCGCCUUGGUGGGCCGUUACCCCGCCAACAAGCUAAUCAGACGCAUCCCCAUCAUAUACCGGUGAACCUUUGGUAUUCUUCAGAUGUCAUCGAAAUACAACAUAGAGCAUUAAUCCGACUUUCGCCGGGCUAUUCUCUACUAUGGGGAAGGUUGGAUACGCGUUACUCACCCGUGCGCCGGUCGCCAUCAAAGAAAGCAAGCUUCCUUCAUGCUGCCCCUCGACUUGCAUGUGUUAAGCCUGUAGCUAGCGUUCAUC
rnacentral:rRNA from 1 species